rnacentral:lncRNA from 1 species
UCUGACGAUUAUGUGUCUUGGGGUUGCUCUUCUCGAGGAGUGUCUUAGCGGUGUCCUCUGUAUUUCCUGAAUUUGAAUGUUGGCCUAUUUUGCUAGGUUGGGGAAGUUCUCCUGGAUAAUAUCCUGAAGUGUGUUUACCAGCUUGGUUCCAUUCUCCCCACCACUUUCAGGUACACCAGUCAAUCACAGAUUUGGUCUUUUCACAUAGUCCCAUAUUUCUUGGAGGCUUUGUUCAUUCUUUUCAUUUUUCUUCUCUAAUUUUGUCUUCACGCCUUAUUUCGUUAAGUUGAUCUUCAAUCUCUGAUAUCAUUUCUUCCACUUGAUCGAUUCAGUUAUUGAUACUUGUGUAUGCUUCACAAAGUUCUCGUACUGUGUUUUUCAGCUCCAUUAGGUCAUUUAUGUCCUCCUCUAAACUGGUUAUCCUAGUUAGCAAUUCCUCUAACCUUUUUUCAAGGUUCUUAGCUUCCUUGCAUUGGGUUAGAACAUGCUCUUUUAGCUCAGAGGAGUUUGUUAUUACCCACCUUCUGAAGCCUUCUUCUGUCAAUUUGUCAAACUCAUUCUCUGUCCAGUUUUGUGCCCUUGCUGGAGAGGAGUUGUGAUCAUUUGGAUGUGAAGAGGCAUUCUGGUUUUUGGAAUUUUCAGCAUUUUUGCACUGGUUUUUCCUCAUCUUCAUGGAUUUAUCUACGUUUGAUCCUUGGUGCCGAUAGCCUUUGGAUGGGUUUUGUGUAUGGGUGUCUGUUUUGUUGAUGUUGAUGUUAUUCCUUUCUGUUUGUUAGUUUUUCUUCUAGCCGUCAGACCCCUCAUCUGCAGAGGCUGCAGAACAGCAAAUAUUGCUGC